UCUUUUGGAUGAACGAAGAAAGUGGUUUCUUGAGAUGGAAUCUAUUCCUGGUGAAAAUGCUGUGAA
rnacentral:pre_miRNA from 1 species